GAGGGAGCCUGAGAAACGGUUACCACAUCCAAGGAAGGCAGCAGGCGCGCAAAUUACCCAAUCCUGACACGGGGAGGUAGUGACAAUAAAUAACAAUACCGGGCUCUUUGAGUCUGGUAAUUGGAAUGAGUACAAUCUAAAUCCCUUAACGAGGAUCCAUUGGAGGGCAAGUCUUGUCAUGUCCCCGUUCCUGGAACUUGAAAUGGGACAUAGAUGUUUCAACAGAAAUGAGACUGCUUUGGUUCAGAUCAUGGGAAUUGAUCGUGAACAAGCAGUGAUCAGGAUGGAUCAUGAGGAAACUAAGUCUAGGUCUGGAAAUACACCAAGGGACUUAGUAGGAUUGAAUUAGAGGAAGAGAACAAGCUGGACGAGUGAUGAGACAGCUGGAAGAUGCGAGAAUGAAGCUCGGUCAGCUGGGCGAAGCUCAGACAAGCUAAGUGUAGCUCACUGAAGUGUAGGUCAGCUCCAGCAGCUGGACUACUAGCUCAGUCAGCUGGGACAGCUGGGGAUCAGCUCAACUCAGCUAUAUGGAGUGUUGGAAGCUCAGACCAGUGUCUCAGUUCUGGGCAGCUCGGACAGCUGGGGAUCAGCUUAACUCAGCUCAACUCAGCUAGAUGGAGUGUUGGAAGCUCAGGCCAAGGAUGGCUAUGGGCCUGUGGGUUCUUGUGGUCAGGCCAUGGGCAUGGGCAAUCCGUGUGGCCUUGCUUUGGACAUUUCCAGGAGUGGUUUUACAGUUCCAGGGAGUCUGGUAACUGCCAAAGGCGAAAGGGUGCAAUCUGUACCAUUGAUUAAAUCAAUGGACAAAAAUGAAACCGAAGGGAUGCAAUGGUUAGAAACGUAACCACUCCUUCUCCUAUAUAAAGAGAGCAAGUCCGUGCCUUUGCAGGCACACCAGGGCUUCCUCCUACAUCCUGUAACACAAAGAAAACCAGAGAAAAACAGAGAGAUGGUCGGAUUCAAGAAUCCAAUACCAAGAGGCAUUCAAAGGCAUCAAAGAGGCAGUUUUGGAGGGCAAUCAAGAGGAGAGGUAUGAACGCCCCUCUGGUGAGUUUUGAUUAUUGUUUGCCACGCCAGGGCUUCCUCUACAUUCAUACAUCACACGAAAAUAGCCUGGAGAGAAGAUAGGAGGCCGGAACCCACUUCCAAUGGUUGAGGCAGCCUUGAAGGCAGAUAUGUGUAGAAAGGCAGUUCCAUGGCCAUUGAAGGGGGAAGUGAUGCAUGACCCUGUGAUGGUGUAUGAUCAUGGAUGAUCACGUCCUAGGCUUCUUCUACAGCCUGGGGACACACGCAAAUGGUUAGGGGAGAAGGGAGGAAGCCGGACUCCACUCUUAGAGGCCAAGAUAGCCUUGAUGGUUGAUGCAGUGUAGAAAGUAGUUUCAUGGGAGUUCCAUGGAAGGGAUGAUGGGUGCGACCCUUGAAUGGAUCUUAUCAAUACUGGAAGUAUGUGAUAAGGAUUGACAGAGGCGUGCACUGGAGGAGCAUGGCCUAACACAAUAAGAGGAGGUACAUGAUCUAAUCAGAUCAUGUAUAAGGUAACCGAUUUGAUAAUUACUUUCAAGUUAUGGUUCUGUCUCUUGUGGUGCGGUUAGGGCCAAGUAUGGCACGUCCCUUUAAGACUAUCAAUUGUGAUGUAAACUAGGUUUGCAUGGUGUAGUCUGUUGGAUCAGACUUCAUGGCACUGAGCCAUGGCAUUGGCCGGUUCAGGAAUGAUGUCCAUGGCCUUAGCCGGGCUGUUCUUGAUCGAGAUAUAUAUGUUCUGGAUCGGUUCUUUGGAAUCUGAUUAUGGUUAUCUCUUAGUUAUGAAUUUUCAUGAGUUUUCAUGAAUCUUAAUCAGUUUUUAGGAAUUGAUUUGAUGAUGCCCACUUUGGGCCGGUUUGGAUGAUCUUGAACGAGAUCUCUAGGAUCAAGGCCGGUUCUGCAAAUUCUGAUUAUGGCAUUCUUUUAGUUGGGAAUUAUCAUAAAUUUACAUGAAAUUUAUUUUGUUUUUGGAUCACAUUUGAAAUCGGCGAGAUUUGGGUUUAGUGAGAAAUUGAUCGAUUAGUUAUGGAACCAGCCAUGCAAUGAUAGAUCCUUGUGUUAGGUUAUCAGAUUAUAUGCUUGUGUAUUGUGAAAUGUUUGUCACUUAUUAUUAUUGAUCAUAAGGAAUGUUAGUUAUCAACCUUGGGUUGGUAAGCUAUGUGCAAAGCAUUGGCUAAGAGCCAUAAAGACGAGUCUAGCUAGUACUUGGUGGCGUGGACCAUAAGUACUGAGCUUGGGUGUUAUUAUUCAAGGAAGGCCGUGUAUGAUGUGAUCAUGGGUAAGGAUGGACGACCUAAUCCAUAGAUGAUGGGUCAAGGUGUCGGAUCUGACUGAUCAAAGGAUGCACCAGUUGUAAGAGCAGUAGUGAUCGGCUUCGUUGGGACAUGGUUCUGCGUCAUGUGGGGUGGUUGGUUGAUUGACUUAGGAUCUGAUGGGCAUUGGUAGUACAUGAGAUGGACUUGCUUGCAUAAGCUGAUAAGCUAAAGGAUGUUGAAUGUAGAAUGAGCCGGGAAGGGCCCAAUGCAUGUCCUUAGCUGUUUGAAGACUUCUCAAGGGUUACUUUAGUCAGUGGGGAUGGUUGGCUGAAUGACUAAGUACCUAGGGGAGUUGUUUUAUUAGUAAAGAAGCUGGAUGCAGUAUAUGGCAACUGGCCAUAGCUUGGACUUAGCUCAGUUCGAGUGUGACAGCUCGAUCAGCUGAUUUACGAGUUCAUUCAGCUAGAGCAGCUGGGCCGAUGAGCUAACAAGCUCCGUGGAUAUGGCUAAGGUAUGAUCUAGUAACUCUUGCUUAGUUCUAGAUAGAAUGGACUAGGGGAAUGGAACCUCAGAUUCAUAUGACUUGAUUCGGGUAUAGGAUCAACCUUUGAGCUAGUUGGUAGUUGAGAGUACUAACCAUUAGCUGAGGUGAUUCGACCGGACGAGUAUUAGAUUGGUUAUAGACCAAUGGAUGAUGAUAUUUUUCCGCUGCAUAUGUGUUGUAUUGAUCUAAGCUAUGGAAUGACUAAGAUAGUCUUAAGCUAAGAUCUAAGUUAGCCCUCGCCUAUGGGCGAUAAUAUAGAUAAAGGGCGAAAAAUUUCGAGGUUCGGUCAGUGUAUGGACCGAGCGACAUGAGGAAUCGACCGCGGCCUAGUCGGCCGGGAUCGGGUCUUACAAGUCUGGUGCCAGCAGCCGCGGUAAUUCUAGCUCC